rnacentral:lncRNA from 1 species
UCUAGUGUAAUCAUGCAGUUUUCUUCAUCAAAGAGGGCACCACUCAACUUCUUCAAUCUAUUUAUCUUUGCAUACCUUUUCUACCAUGUUUUCAAAUGAUUCUUAACUUACUCACCAGUGAUCCUUGUGGUGAACUUCUCAUUGAUAGCCCUAGCACAAGCAUUGAAAAGGUGUUUCUUAAAUGCCUUUGAUGUCUUCAAACCAGCAGCCACCAAAUCAUUUAGGUGAGAGAGCAUUAAAGCAGACAUUGCUGAUGUCCACGUAGCAUGCCCACUAGUCCCAC